UACAGAGGUCCCAAGCGUUGUUCGGAUUCACUGGGCGUAAAGGGUGCGCAGGUGGUCGGGUAAGUCUGAUGUGAAAUCCCGCAGCUCAACUGCGGAAUGGCAUUGGAUACUAUUUGGCUAGAGGGUUGGAGGGGGGACUGGAAUUCUCGGUGUAGCAGUGAAAUGCGUAGAUAUCGAGAGGAACACCAGUGGCGAAGGCGAGUCCCUGGACAACGACUGACACUGAGGCACGAAAGCUAGGGGAGCAAACAGG
rnacentral:rRNA from 1 species